CCUCUCCAAAUGCUUUACCCCUUGGGCCUAAGUAUUGCUUUGAGUGGCUAAAGGAAAGGAGGAAAAGUAAAACUGAAAAGGAGCUGGAAUUUUUAGUGAUAUACGGAUUCAUUUCAAACAUAG
rnacentral:snoRNA from 1 species